UUGGUCCCCAUCAACCAGCA
rnacentral:miRNA from 1 species